CUGGGCUGGGGGAUGCCUGCAGCCUCGCUGGAGGUGCAGCGCGCCUUUACGCAGGGCGCGCCGUGAGCAGCCUUCGUCUUCGGGGUCAUGGGGAGCAGCCUGCGACAGUUGGCGCUCGUGGGCACCGCCGUGGCCGUCACCGGGGGGGUCGCCUACGUGGUUUGGAAGCACUAUUUUUCCGCCCCUGUUCCUCCGGGGCCCGAGGAGUGUCAGCAGCAGCCCUUGCUCGGUGCGCAAGAAAGAGCCGCCUUAAGCUGCACGGGAACGCCGGAGGGCCAGGAUAAACCACCCAGCAAGCAGAUCCUGGUUCUGGGCUUGGAUGGGGCAGGAAAAACCAGUGUUCUCCACUCACUAGCAACUAACCAUGUAAAGCGCAGCUCAGCUCCCACAGAAGGCUUCAAUGCUGUGUGUGUCAGCACGGAGGAAACCAAGAUGGAAUUCCUAGAAAUUGGGGGCAGUGAGAAUUUACGGGACUACUGGAAGAUGUACCUGCCUCGAGUGCUGCUCCUGAUCUAUGUUGUGGAUUCAGCAGAUCACGUUCGUUUGCCUGUUGCAAAGAAGCUCCUUCAUCAGCUGGUCCAGAGUAGUCCUACCCUGCCUGUUAUGAUUCUCGCCAAUAAGCAGCUACCUCCCAUGGUUUUUAUUCAAGUGAAAGGUUACAAAAGCUUGCAAAACCAAAGGAGACAAAAGAUGUGUGGAAUUUUACUCGGUCCCUCUUUGUGUACAGCUGUGGUCGGGUUUCUGAGAUCUGGCGUCGCCCUUCGGGACUGCAGUCUAUAAUCCCAUCCAAACGAAUAUUGCAGCUAGCAGAACCUAAGCCAUACUCAGCAGCUUACCUGAAACAAAGGCCACGAAGCUCCCCACAGUGGCCUGUCAGUUUCUCAGCACUUACUUGCAAACCUUCCCAGCACAUUCUGAACCUUGCCCACCCAAGAUCCCUGCACCAGUGCUUCACUCUUCCAAAAGAGGUAAAGAUGAUCCUAAACCAGAGGGCACAUGAGCAACUGUUUGAACUUGUGAUUCUGUGUGCAGCUCCAUUGUGCAUCUCUCAAUGCUGCAAUAGGGGCACAAUCUUCUAGACUGCAUUUGGAAGAAAGUUCAACACGCUGCUCAACUAUCUUAAAACAACUAGCAUUAUCAUGCCUCACUGCUUAAUGCAAAUACAGCCCACUAAAAAUAAUAAUGAAUUGGUUGGUUUUGGCUCCAUACUAUCUGAUAAGAUGGUCCAGUAAACUAGAAAGGGAUGAUUCAUUAGCAUUCCAUUCUCUGUUGUUUAGAUAAUGUGAAAAUAAGGAGGUUGUUUUUAGCUGGUUCAGACUCUGAUAUAUAGAUGCAGGGAGAAGGAAGGGACACAUGAAAAAAGCAAGAAUAGUACCUUUAAUGCAUUUGCCUCAUAAUCUCAUUUUGCCAGUAGUUUUAAAAUUGUCAUAGUUGCUAGUUACCAAAAUGAAGAGUUUUAUAUAAAUCUGUUGAGAAGUUUUCUGAGUGCCAGAUAAUUUUGCUACAUCUUUUUACAACCUUUGUCUAUAGCCUUUUCCCAGCUGAAUUAGUGGACAAAUAGUCAAGAUGCAAAACAGUGGAUGAUGCCAGAUGCCAGCACCUGUUUGCAUCAAUGGGUACAUCCUCCCUGUUCAGGAACAGAUGGCCCAUGAGAUGUAGAUGUAGAUGUGUAUCCAGAUGCAAAUUGGCAGCAUGUGUGGAAAGCUGCUUGGGCAUGCAGCCCUCUUACCUCUCAACAGGCUUUUAUUAUGCCAUUUUACUGAAUGUUAGAGUGGUCCAGACAAUGCUGUCUUCUGUGCAUAAUCCCCACCACCACUAUUUUCCACCGCUUCUUCCACAGUUUUUCUUAACAAAGAUAAUCCAUUAAAGAAGAUAAGUUAGAACAGUUAUACAAUGCCUUCUAGCUGGUAACCACACUUGGAGGCCUUUUUCUGCAAUUACCAUAACGUUUUCUCUCAUUCAGCUUUGUCUUGUCCAGGAAUUGUUUCCUACCUACCUUUGCUACCCUUGAUCCUCUGAUAUCCUAGCAACAUGACCCAAGAGAACAUGCUAUCGUAGAAAUGAGCACUGUUCACUCUGGCCCUCUCAAAGUAAUAAUGUACAAAUGUUACAAGCAAACAUUCUCAUCUGCCGCCUCUGGCAUUGUUUCUGCAUCCACGAGGACAGGGCCUCCUGUGCUAACCCCUUACUCUCACCUUGUUUGCGGUGUAAGCUUAUGACAGAUCUGUUAGAGCUAAGACUGGAUAGAAUAUGGGAAAUUUGAGUCUUACUAAUAUAAUCACUACUCUUAUUUCCAGAGAUCCUUGGGAACAGUAAUUCAGGGAGGGGGAAUCUCUAAGAGUGGACACUUGAUACCCUCACCAAAUUUUAAUUCAUAGAGAUCCUUGGGGAGCCCUAGCACUGCAAGGUACAGUUCUCCCAUCUUUUCCUUCAUAUUGGCAUUUUCUAGGAAAGAGAAAAGAUGAAAGAAGCUGUAGAAAAACACAGUAGGGGUUCAAGUGGAAAAAGUUGUUGAUUAAGUUCAGACAACACAAUUACCUGCAAGGGUUGAGUAUGAUUUGAGUAUGAGUUAUUGUUGAACUCUGGGUUGCUGUUGAAACAUGGGUUAGUGUGUUGUCUGUACCUGGCAAAGAUAACAAAACAUGGUGAACAAACCACAGUUCACAACCCAGCAAAAAACAUGGGUUUUCCUGACAGGUGUUUUGUGGUUAACAAGCCAUAGCUUGUUAGUGCAGCUGGGUUCAGACAACAUGAUAAUUCACAUUUUAGGAACCCACAGUCGAAGAACAGCCUACAGUUAGCCCAUGCUCAGCCCUGGGGUGUACUCAUGUGUUCUCAACUCAGUUAUUCUCUCCCCCCACCCCAUAAAAAUCUGUGGAACAGGCUUUGUGAUUGCACAAUAAAAGCCUCACCUUGAAGCACCCUACAAUUAUUUAGGGGAAGUUGUGGCUAUUAAAUUGAUAUGCAGAGUGUAGUAGUAUAGAUAAGCACAGUUGCUUGCUUAUGCAUAAGGAGUACUGGGGGAGACCAGCUAAGCAGUAACGUUUCAAAGAGAUGUGACAUUAAGGAGGAGUGCUUGAGUACUUCAGUAAGACUGAGCCAUCCCCUUUGCUUUCACGGGUUGUUUAUUACAGUAUGUGAGCAUAAUAAUGUGUUUGAAGGUUCUGUCUUCAAUCUGCUGUAUGAAAAUCUAUUUUAAUAAAUCUGUUCUAAAGUUUACUGGUUUCUUUGCCCCAUGUAGCCUGAAACACAGGUUUCGAGGGCUGCAAUGAGAGCCGUAUUAACUCCAAGGACAGAACAUCUUGCCCAGCCUAUAUUGAAGAAGGAGACCUUGUGCUAUGACAACAGAAUCAAGGAGGCCCCGAUCCGACAAGUAAUUCAGUAACUUUGGUACUUCCAGUGUUGGACAGAUGUUUAAAUAUCUGUAUUAUCCAGGGUGUAUUUUCAUCACUAUCACUACCCCUGUUUCUACCAAUUAUAUAUGAAAUAGGGCAGGCAUCAGCUGUUGCUGGCCUUGCUGAGCUGCUUUAUGGAAAACUGGCAAUACAUACAUUGGUAGGGAAUGGGGGAGGGGAAGCAGGGGAACCAAGGAGGAUGAGCCAUUUCAUGUGUGCUGAUUCAGGUCUUCCAUCAUCUACAGUCCAGAAAAUCAGGGUCUGUGAUCCUGGAAUGGUCCUUUGUCUGUCCAAGUCCUAACUCAGCAUGCUGGCUGGGAAUUAUGAGAGUUGCAGUCCAGGAUGCCUAGAGGGUACCAGUUUAGGGGAGGCUGGUCUAACUACACAUGAUACUAAUUGUGUUUCUUGUGCUCACAUGGUAAUGUUUUCUUUAUUACAAGCAUGAAUGUGGGCAAAUCUUUCUCAGAACCAUAGCAGUUAGGGAGAUAUAGCUGCUCCGUGAUCACAACAAAAUGCCCCCACCCCCUGUGCUUGCGGGAGAAAACAACCUCCCAUUUGCACCCUUGGAGAUAAGGAACCCGGGGACACUUCCCUUGUAAUAUUUGUUAUGCUCUUCAGCUUAAUGCUGCCAUCUGAAAUUGCUCUCUAGAGGAAAGCCCACUGCCUUCAUUUCACACCUGUUUGUGCUUAAGAUGUACCACUUGCAGGGUUAGAAUCUGGAGCUUUUGGUGAAUGCAGGGAAUUACUUACAAUGUGGUAACUUGCUGUGGUGUUUAUAGAGAUGAUAAUCACCUUACACAUGUGACAACAAUAAUUUUGCCAUACUUUUCCAGCCAUUCCUUUCCUUUUCCUUCCUUUUUUACCUCUGUCUAAGAUCAUCACAACCAUUCAGCUAGUGGCAGAAAGAGGCACUUUUAUCCAACCUGCAUUGCUGUAUUCAUAGGGCAGCUCAUCCAGAUCACUGCCACCAGCACAAAACCUUUUAUGCUGGUGACUGAGGGAGCAGCAACAAAACAGACCCAGUCUGUUGAUGGAAGGAUUGAUUAUGCCGCUUAGAUCUGUGAGCAUCUGCUUGAUUAUGCUGCUUAGUUCUGUGAGGAUCUGCUUAGGCCACCUUGUUUUCAAGACUGCUCAUUAGCAGAAGGAGUGCAGGAGUAAAGAUGGCCUAAUUCCUUGGGUCCUUCUAGCCUCCUAGCUUUGUUGGGGAAACACUGGAUUUAAUGUAAUGUCUUCUGUUCCAAAACCAAUGCUCCUGCUUCGUCCUGCAGGUGAGCCUGGCUGCCCAGCAAGCGUUGGCAAGUCCAAGGAUCGCAGAGCUUGCCAGAGGAAAAAUGCUUCCUGGUGACAGUUGUCCUGACCGUUCCGCUGAGUGGCCUGUGUCCAAGGCAGCAAAGCACGCAGUAGCUACCC